rnacentral:tRNA from 2 species
GUUCCGGUAGCUCAGAGGAUAGAGCAUCUGACUUCUAAUCAGAGGGUCGUGGGUUCGAUUCCCUCCCGGAACACCA